AUGAUCUAGCUAGAUAAUAACAAUAAUAAGCAAACGGAACGGAAGGAACAAUGGCUUUGCAAUCGCUUCGGGGACCCUGCAACGCAACGGCCGCGGCGCUCAGGGCUUCCAGAUGAUGGUGGUCUCGGCGAUCAUGGAGGUGACCACGUAGGGGUCCAUGUUGGACGCCGGGCGGCGGUCCUCGAAGUAGCCCUUGCCGUUCUGCUCCGUCUCCCGGCCCACGCGCACCGACGCGCCG
rnacentral:lncRNA from 1 species